AAAGCUUUAAGUUAAACAAACUAUUAACCUUCAAAGUUAAAAAUACAAGAAAUUAUCCUUGCAAGCUUUA
rnacentral:tRNA from 1 species